UUGUACUCGGAGGACAUUACACAAAUAUGAAGGCGGGCUGGAACCUCUCGGGGUUACAGCCUUGCUGAAUUAUUCACCCUUGUCUUUUGCGUACUUCUUGUUUCCUUGGUGGGUUCGCCCACCACUAGGACAAACAUAAACCUUUUGUAAUUGCAAUCAGCGUCAGUAACAAAUUAAUAAUUACAACUUUCAACAACGGAUCUCUUGGUUCUGGCAUCGAUGAAGAACGCAGCGAAAUGCGAUAAGUAGUGUGAAUUGCAGAAUUCAGUGAAUCAUCGAAUCUUUGAACGCACAUUGCGCCCUUUGGUAUUCCAAAGGGCAUGCCUGUUCGAGCGUCAUUUGUACCCUCAAGCUUUGCUUGGUGUUGGGCGUCUUGUCUCUAGCUUUGCUGGAGACUCGCCUUAAAGUAAUUGGCAGCCGGCCUACUGGUUUCGGAGCGCAGCACAAGUCGCACUCUCUAUCAGCAAAGGUCUAGCAUCCAUUAAGCCUUUUUUUCAACUUUUGACCUCGGAUCAGGUAGGGAUACCCGCUGAACUUAAGCAUACAAAAGGGGGGGAAGAAA
rnacentral:rRNA from 1 species